rnacentral:rRNA from 1 species
CCUGGUGUCAAUGGCGCAGUGGCCCCACUCCGACCCAUCCCGAACUCGGUUGUGAAACGCUGCAGCGGCGAAGAUAGUUAGGGCGUAAGCCCUUGUUAAAAUAGCUCGAUGCCAGGU